rnacentral:rRNA from 1 species
AUGUAACACAUCCUCACCGGCUGCUCCUUCUCUCGCAUGGUCUGGCAUGACGUCUAUGCAUCUCUGCGUCUGACUGAUGCCACGCCGCACAUCGACGAGCCAUUCUACGACUGGUGGAAACGCACCACCACCGGCGCACCCGCAUCCCUUCGCAAAGGGGUCGCCUCGCUCGGAAUCCUGGUCGUGUGGUCGCUCUGGAAGCACAGAAAUGUGUGCACCUUCGACAGGAUUCAACCGUGUGUCUCCGCCCUGACUCAAACCAUCCUUGAUGAGGCUAGAUUGUGGCCUUCGGCUGGGGCAAAAGGACUGGCCAAAUUCACGUUCCACCCACCUUAA